GCCAUAACUAGACAGAGGGCCUUGUCUCA
rnacentral:piRNA from 1 species